UUCUAUGACGUUAGCGGCGGACGGGUGAGUAACACGUGGGCAACCUGCCUGUAAGACUGGGAUAACUUCGGGAAACCGAAGCUAAUACCGGAUAGGAUCUUCUCCUUCAUGGGAGAUGAUUGAAAGAUGGUUUCGGCUAUCACUUACAGAUGGGCCCGCGGUGCAUUAGCUAGUUGGUGAGGUAACGGCUCACCAAGGCAACGAUGCAUAGCCGACCUGAGAGGGUGAUCGGCCACACUGGGACUGAGACACGGCCCAGACUCCUACGGGAGGCAGCAGUGGUCAUAGCUGGUUUCCUG
rnacentral:rRNA from 1 species